UAGAGUUUGAUCCUGGCUCAGGAUGAACGCUGGCGGCGUGCCUAAUACAUGCAAGUCGAGCGAACAGAUAAGGAGCUUGCUCCUUUGAAGUUAGCGGCGGACGGGUGAGUAACACGUGGGUAACCUACCUAUAAGACUGGGAUAACUUCGGGAAACCGGAGCUAAUACCGGAUAACAUUUAGAACCGCAUGGUUNUAAAGUGAAAGAUGGUUUUGCUAUCACUUAUAGAUGGACCCGCGCCGUAUUAGCUAGUUGGUAAGGUAACGGCUUACCAAGGCGACGAUACGUAGCCGACCUGAGAGGGUGAUCGGCCACACUGGAACUGAGACACGGUCCAGACUCCUACGGGAGGCAGCAGUAGGGAAUCUUCCGCAAUGGGCGAAAGCCUGACGGAGCAACGCCGCGUGAGUGAUGAAGGGUUUCGGCUCGUAAAACUCUGUUAUUAGGGAAGAACAAAUGUGUAAGUAACUGUGCACUCCUUGUACGGUACCUA
rnacentral:rRNA from 1 species